rnacentral:rRNA from 1 species
UGGGGAAUAUUGCACAAUGGGCGCAAGCCUGAUGCAGCAACGCCGCGUGAACGAUGAAGGUCUUCGGAUCGUAACGUUCUGUUGCAGGGGAAGAUAAUGACGGUACCCUGUGAGGAAGCCCCGGCUAACUACGUGCCAGCAGCCGCGGUAAUACGUAGGGGGCUAGCGUUAUCCGGAUUUACUGGGCGUAAAGGGUGCGUAGGUGGUCUUUCAAGUCGGUGGUUAAAGGCUACGGCUCAACCGUAGUUAGCCUCCGAAACUGGAAGACUUGAGUGCAGGAGAGGGAAGUGGAAUUCCCAGUGUAGCGGUGAAAUGCGUAGAUAUUGGGAGGAACACCAGUAGCGAAGGCGGCUUUCUGGACUGCAACUGACACUGAGGCACGAAAGCGUGGGUAGCAAACAGG